rnacentral:rRNA from 1 species
UACGUAGGGAGCGAGCGUUGUCCGGAUUUACUGGGUGUAAAGGGUGCGUAGGCGGUUUUGCAAGUCAGAAGUGAAAUCCAUGGGCUUAACCCAUGAACUGCUUUUGAAACUGUCGGUCUUGAGUGGUGUAGAGGUAAGCGGAAUUCCCGGUGUAGCGGUGGAAUGCGUAGAUAUCGGGAGGAACACCAGUGGCGAAGGCGGCCUACUGGGCUUUAACUGACGCUGAGGCACGAAAGCGUGGGUAGCAA